UACGUAGGGUGCGAGCGUUGUCCGGAAUUACUGGGCGUAAAGAGCUCGUAGGUGGUUUGUCGCGUUGUCCGUGAAAACUCACAGCUCAACUGUGGGCGUGCGGGCGAUACGGGCAGACUGGAGUACUGCAGGGGAGACUGGAAUUCCUGGUGUAGCGGUGGAAUGCGCAGAUAUCAGGAGGAACACCGGUGGCGAAGGCGGGUCUCUGGGCCGACACUGACGCUCAGGCACGAAAGCGUGGGGAGCAAACAGG
rnacentral:rRNA from 1 species